rnacentral:rRNA from 1 species
UACGGAGGGUGCGAGCGUUGUCCGGAAUCAUUGGGCGUAAAGGGCGCGUAGGUGGCCCGGUCAGUUCGUGGUGAAAGCGCGGGGCUCAACCCUGCGUCGGCCAUGAAUACUGCCGCGGCUGGAGCACUGUAGAGGCAGGCGGAAUUCCGGGUGAGCGGUGGAAUGCGUAGAGAUCCGGAAGAACACCGGUGGCGAAGGCGGCCUGCUGGGCAGUGCUGACACUGAGGCGCGACAGCGUGGGAGCAACAGGAUAGAACCUGAGACGUACCGUAGUC